UAUCGUCAAUAAUUGAUUAUUAUUAUUACAAUUAUUGAUUAUAAAUUAUUUACAGUUCUUCUAUAUGAAAGUGAUAGCUUCAGUUUUGUUCAGCGGUUGCUAGUGGUUGUAAGCAAGUGCAGUCUCAGAAGUGUCAUAUGAAAAGGCCUAUUCGAUUUUCAUUGUCACUCGCAUCAAGUAACUUGACUGUAACUGUUCUCUUUUCGUAUAAAUAAAUAUAAUCGCGGUGUAAACUAAACUUGUUAAAUUUCGCUUCUCCAUUUGAAACAUAAUAGGUGCAUAUUUUUGCCACAACAGCACUUCGCUUAGUAAAAAUGAUGAAAAUAGCCAACACCGCCCAGCAAGCAAGACCCAUUCUUUCCGGAAUAGCUUACGGAGCUGGAACAAAACCAAUACGUUGCGAAAGCACUAACGUUGGCUGUCGAAAGAACAUCAUAGUUUAUACCUGGCUUACUUCAUCGAUUAGACAUACUUUGGAACAGCAACAGAAACGAUUUCGUGCAAGGCAAUUAGACUUGCUGGAACCCAAGGAUAUAUUUUCCAUCGUCUUUUAGAGAUCGUCAAGUUAUACACCCACACUCUUGACUGUUGCUUGCUAACGACACCAACUAUGAGUCUCGGAAAGGGUCUUAGAGCGAAAAAUCCACGCACCAUCUUCGUUGUCACCACCGGAAAAUCCGAAAAUGCACCUUGUGUACUACCAAUUCAAAUGGACUACGAAAGAAUAGUCGAUGAGAUGGCACACUGGAAAGCGACAUUAGAGGGCGAUCCUCCAGGACAGUCAGCCGGCCAAGUACAUUUAUUUUUGAAUUAUAUUCAUUUCAAUUUUAUGUUAAAUCUGAAGUAUUGAUCAAAUCUGCUUGCAACAUUCAAUCAAAAGUUUAUCCAAGAUCUCUUUCUACAAUUCGUCCAUAAUUCAUUUGCAAA